AUAUGAGCAUAGCAGACAAGCGAGGGAGGACGGCGGAGCGCGCUGGCCGCGGACGGGGCCCGCUGCCCGGGACGCGGCCGCCGCCAACUCCCGCCUCCGGCGCCGCCUCCACCGCCCCGGGCCAGCCCUGCGGGAACAGGGCUUCCGCGCGUGGGCAACCCGUAGCAGAGCCCCCUGGCAGCAUCCACCUGAGACCUUUACUGUAGGGUCAGGGCGCCUGAGAGCUAAGGACCAAAAGUCCUGGCCUGUACCAAAGAGGCUGUGAAGUGCCAGUUAAGGUGUGACAUGGUCGCUCUUGUGCCUACUGAAUACCCAUAAUACAGAGGACCACCGACUGCGUCCCAGGGGUCGCACCUGGAGGGGACCUCACCACACCCACUAUGUCCAGGUCAAUUCUCCCAUGGGACAGAGGCACACUGGCAAACAUGGACAUCGGAUCUCCCAUGGGACAGAGGCACACUGGCAAACAUGGACAUCGGAUCUCCCAUGGGACAGUGGCACACUGGCAAACAUGGACAUCGGAUCUCCCAUGGGACAGUAGUACACUGGCAAACAUGGACAUCGGAGCAGGCGUGUAGGGGUCCUGGCCAGUUGCAUCAGCUUACUGGACUGCUGUAACUACUAAAUUAAUGUGUUUGAGAUCAGAGUUUGGAAAAUAUAAACAAACAUAAGCAACUCUUGGGCAGCAGAGCCAGACACGGCUGGCUACAGCUCUGAAGCCUCGUGGUUUUAGAACACAAGAUUAAUUUAAUUUGCACGACUGCAGCUCCUCAUCUCUCUGCCUUCCCAGCCGUUGCCAGAUGCCUCAUAAUCAAAUACCCCAUGGGGGAAAACCUCGUUCUUCACUGCUCUGGCAAGAGUCUGUCACAGAGCACAGAGUAGCCUACAAGACGCCACCAGAACCAGGCAGUGACUGUUAGUGAUUCGGUGAUGGCUAACCCAAGCUACAGAGCAAUGUCGGUUGUGCUGAAGAAGUGAGUAGGAAGUGGCCGGGCAUAGUGGAGCAGCUUGUAAUCCUAGCACUCUGGAGACUGAAGCUGUAAGUUUAGGGCCAGCCUGGGCCAGACAGCAAGAACCCUUUUCCAAAACAAACAACAAACAAACAAACUUUCUAAGAAAGAAAGCAAAAAUGAUGAGAAAUACAAACAACCAAACAACAACAAAGCCACAGGAAAAACUAGAAACAACAUUUCUUAUCUUUACACAGCCAUUGUAUUUCUCAAAGAUGAGAAAUACAAACAACCAAACAACAACAAAGCCACAGGAAAAACUAGAAACAACAUUUCUUAUCUUUACACAGCCAUCCAAGCUACAUCCUCGCUAAUAUGCUAAUGUCAACUCCUUAAGAAAAUCUCCCACCACUGCACAAAAGCUUAAGACUUCUGUGUGUCUGUGUGUGUGUGUCCCACCCCUAUUCCCCAAAGAACUGGAUGGAAGCCAACAGUGCUACAAAUGAAGAAGAGAUACAAUAGAACUUGCAAGAAACCCAAGUCAGGGCUUCAACUCAGUGACCUUUCACAUAUGACCUUUCACCUAUGUCCUUUUACAUAUGACCAGUUAGUGAUUGGCUGGAGAGGUAGUAACAUUCCAGACGAAUUUUUUCCAUGCUUCUCAGAUGCUGGGCUCCUAUCUUGGGAAAGAGUGCACUGGCUCUCACUCCUCGUGAAGGCAGGGUUUUAUGCAGGUGGGAGUGUGCCUCCUCCCUCAGUGCACUCAAGUGGGAACAGGUUGAGAACUGUGCUCAACUGGACAGACACAGAGUCAAGGCUGAAGGCUCUGAUAGAUGCUUAAAUUUUUGUUUCAAAUCCUCCAAAAGAACGCCAGGGCCAUGGCUUCUGAUCUUUUACUGCCAAAUGCUCUAAACAGGGACAGCCUGCCCCCAAAUCCAGGCGACUGCCAACCUGAGAGAGGAGGCUGAUUAACGGGAGCGUUUUCCUCCUUUUCUAGAUAAAAUGGUUUGCCUUUAUCUUCCAUGGCAAUGUAAAGUUUAGACGGACAAAGCCCUCCUACUUUAUUGAUUAAUUCUGGGGAGAUCUGAAGUGACUGACACACUGCCUGCUUCUUCUAGCUUUGGCUUUGCUGUAGUGACUGAUUGAUAUUUAGCAAGAGUUUCAGUCUUAUGAAGAAAAAAGUAAUUCUCCCUAAAUCAGCAAAGAUGCUUGGUUUUAAAAGACUCUACAAUGGGAAAGCAGCUACCUACCAAUAAGCAUCCAGAGAGCAGAGAUCAACUUCUUACAGUUAGAUGGUGAUGAGCGACUUCUCCUUACCCUUCCUCCAUUUGGGCUGUGCCCACGCGCUCCUUACACUAGGCACAUCUUAACUACUGUAUGAUAUCUAAUGGCUAACGGUGUUUACUCCUUCCUCAGUUUCUCCUUAACUGCAGCCCACCUCUGGCAUCUGUUGCUCAUCAAAGCAGCUGCAUCCUGAGCCCGUGUGAGACGCAGCUGCUCUCAGCAUCCGUGCCUCGAACUUUGGCAUCAUCAGAUCCAGCCAGGUUCAAGUAUUCCACCUGGGACGCUGGACCAAAAAAAAAAAAAAAAAAAAAAAAAAAAAAAACUCCAAGCCUUAAAAUGGUUAUCUAUAAAAUGGAACAUAAAGGUUUGCACCGCACAUGAUACUUAGCAAUUAGUCCCAUGUUAGCUCUCAGGUUAAGGUCACAAUAAAUGUGGUUUAGUCGGUUUCCCAUUGCUGUGAAGAGACAGCACAACCACGGCAACUCUUAUACAUGAAAACAUUUAAUCAGGGCUGGCUUCUAGUUCAGAGGUUUAGCCUAUUACGGCUGGAAGCCAGGAGGCAAGCGAGGUGCUGGAGAAGGAACUAAGAAGAGAGAGUGAGCCAUUGGACCUGGCUUGAGCUUCUGAAACCUCAAAGCCCACUCACAGGGGGCACACUUCCUCCAGCAAGGCCACACCCACUCCACAAGGCCACACCCACUCCAACAAGGCCAGGCUCCGAGGCCACGCCCACUCCAACAAGGUCACACCUACUCCAGCAAGGCCACACCUACUCCAGCAAGGCCACAUAUGUCCUAAUCCUUUCAAAUAAUGCCAUUCCCUAUGAGCCUGUGGGGACUGUUUUCAUUCAAACCACCAUAAAAUGUCAAUACAACAUUAUUAUUAACCCUUAUCAUUUCCUACCAGCCUUCAAUCAGUACAAAACACACUUUACCCUUAAACCUUAUCUGAUUGGAUAAAUCUUAUCUUAUUUCCUGUCUUAAGUGACUUGGUUUUUUUGCUUUUCACAGCUCAAGGUCCUACAUUUGUAUUUAAAAAUCACCUCUCAGGAAGACUGGCCAUCUUUAACAAUUUUCCAACACAUUUUAAAAAUUUUUUACUUUCUACAAUAUAUUCAAGAUUACUAAUCAUUCUUUUUGAAAUGUUUUAACUUCCUCAAAGUAUUUGAAUAUUUGAAUAUUCAAGCUAGUUUGUGAAAACUGCUUGUCAUCAAAACAUAUGGUGCGAUUAAAAAAAAUCUCCAAAAGAAAAGUCCUCUUCCAGUCAUCCGCUUAUAUUUGCUGAAUGCUCGCUGAUGUACAAAAUAUACCAUAAACUCAAUAAACUGGCAAAAUGCUUA